GGAWUUUUCCUAGGUAACGGCGAGUGAAGAGGAAGAGCUCAAAGUUGGAAACUGUUUGGCUUAGCUAAACCGUAUUGUAAACUGUAGAAACAUUUUCCUGGCACGCCGGAUUAAUAAGUCCUUUGGAACAAGGCAUCAUGGAGGGUGAGAAUCCCGUCUUUGAUCCGAGUAGUUGUCUUUUGUGAUAUGUUUUCAAAGAGUCAGGUUGUUUGGGAAUGCAGCCUAAAUUGGGUGGUAAAUCUCACCUAAAGCUAAAUAUUUGCGAGAGACCGAUAGCGAACAAGUACCGUGAGGGAAAGAUGAAAAGAACUUUGAAAAGAGAGUUAAACAGUAUGUGAAAUUGUUAAAAGGGAACCGUUUGGAGCCAGACUGGUUUGACUGUAAUCAACCUAGAAUUCGUUCUGGGUGCACUUGCAGUCUAUACCUGCCAACAACAGUUUGAUUUGGAGGAAAAAAUUAGUAGGAAUGUAGCCUCUCGAGGUGUUAUAGCCURCUAUCAUACUCUGGAUUGGACUGAGGAACGCAGCGAAUGCCWUUAGGCGAGAUUGCUGGGUGCUUUCGCUAAUAAAUGUUAGAAUUUCUGCUUCGGGUGGUGCUAAUGUUUAAAGGAGGAACACAUCUAGUAUAUUUUUUAUUCGCUUAGGUUGUUGGCUUAAUGACUCUAAAUGACCCGUCUUGAAACACGGACCA
rnacentral:rRNA from 1 species